UCAAUCAUGCAUAACUUAAAGGCACCAGAUCGUAUCUGAUCUUGGAAGCUCAGCAAGGUUAACCAUGGUUAAUACUUGGCUGGGAGACCACCAAUGAAUACCAGGUGCCUGUAUACU
rnacentral:rRNA from 1 species